rnacentral:rRNA from 1 species
CCUCACCCGGCCCGGACACGGACAGGAUUGACAGAUUGAUAGCUCUUUCUCGAUUCCGUGGGUGGUGGUGCAUGGCCGUUCUUAGUUGGUGGAGCGAUUUGUCUGGUUAAUUCCGAUAACGAACGAGACUCUGGCAUGCUAACUAGUUACGCGACCCCCGAGCGGUCGGCGUCCCCCAACUUCUUAGAGGGACAAGUGGCGUUCAGCCACCCGAGAUUGAGCAAUAACAGGUCUGUGAUGCCCUUAGAUGUCCGGGGCUGCACGCGCGCUACACUGACUGGCUCAGCGUGUGCCUACCCUACGCCGGCAGGCGCGGGUAACCCGUUGAACCCCAUUCGUGAUGGGGAUCGGGGAUUGCAAUUAUUCCCCAUGAACGAGGAAUUCCCAGUAAGUGCGGGUCAUAAGCUUGCGUUGAUUAAGUCCCUGCCCUUUGUACACACCGCCCGUCGCUACUACCGAUUGGAUGGUUU